GAUGAACGCUAGCGGCAGGCCUAACACAUGCAAGUCGAGGGAGAAGCCCUUUCGGGGGCAGAAACCGGCGCACGGGUGCGUAACGCGUAUGCAACCUACCUUUCACAGGGGGAUAGCCCGAAGAAAUUUGGAUUAAUACCCCAUAAUAUUAUUGGAUGGCAUCAUUUGAUAAUUAAAACUGCGGUGGUGAAAGAUGGGCAUGCGUCCUAUUAGCUAGUUGGAGUGGUAACGGCACCCCAAGGCUACGAUAGGUAGGGGUCCUGAGAGGGAGAUCCCCCACACUGGUACUGAGACAGGGACCAGACUCCUACGGGAGGCAGCAGUGAGGAAUAUUGGUCAAUGGUCGGAAGACUGAACCAGCCAUGCCGCGUGCAGGAAGAAUGCUUUAUGGGUUGUAAACUGCUUUUAUAUGGGAAGAAUAAGGCGUACGUGUACGUUGAUGACGGUACCAUAUGAAUAAGCAUCGGCUAACUCCGUG
rnacentral:rRNA from 1 species